CAGGGAGUGGAGCCAAAUUGUCUGGUCAAGGGUGUGUGGGGAGGGUGUGGGGCACCAGGAAGGUGGAGGGAGUUUUCUACAGUGUAUCAAAUACAGAAAAUUUCAACGAAAACUGAAGCCAAAGCAUCAUCACAACGGAAUUCUGAGGGGGUUAUUCUGGGCAUCAAGUUUAUUUAUUUUUUACACCCAGAAACUGUGGGAUUGAAUUUGACAUCAAGGUUUCUUCUGUUCCAGUAACUGCUUUGGAUUAAGUCAAAGAUGCAGUACUUACAGGAUCAGCUGAAUUUAUGGGAUGCCUCCUUUCUUGAAGCCCAACAGCAGACCUAAGAUCAGCAUUUAAAACUUUUCUCCAAAUCUUUGUCAUUAUAUGCUAAGACCACACCAGAUCAGGAACUAUACAUAUGAAUUCAGUUGGUUCAGCUGUAUAUCAGCUUGGCAAUGAAGCCCAUAACAUCCAAUAUUCAGUUUUCCAUCAAGUAUGACGAAGUUAAAUGUCUAUUGCAUGUGUUAAGUAAACGGCAAAUGUAUGUAAAUUCUGAGGAUUGACAGAGGCUGAGAUUAGAGGGUGUGACAUCCUGUACUGAACACAGAGUCAAUAAAGGAGUGAUGAAUGGUCAAUAUUAAGGAAUUCAGAAAGCAAGCAGUUGGAGUAAAUAUAAAUGUGAUUUAAGGACAGAGACUACAAGAGAGAAAUGAAUCUUUACACAAAAAUAGAGUGUUUGGAUUCACUCCAUACUACAAUGUUGUUGUUUUUUCUUAUUUAGCCUUUUAAAUUAAUUUAAAAGGCUAAAUAAGAAAUUAACUUAAAUUCAUAUAAAUUAACCUAAAUUGAUAUUAUAGUUACUGCAUUUUAAUGGUCUUAAACUCAAAUUCAUUCAGCAAUCUUUAAAGUGAGACUGGAAUUUUUUAUUAUAUUAAAUCUUUCCUGGUGAGCACAAACUGCCUUUUCAAAAAUAAAAGAGGGAUGCAGGAGAUGCUCGGAGCAGGAAACAAGUCACGGCAGUGAAGUGCUCUUGUCCCUUUCUCUGAAAAGCUCUCCAGAUAAAAAGUGGCUCACUUUAAAUACCAUGUUACCUCAUGUAUCAAACCUUCAAUUCAUUUCUUCCUUCUAAACCUGAUCCCAGGUUCUUUCACAUGAUGGGAGAAAAACCUCAAGAGAGCAAUAAGAAAUUAAUAAUUAAAAAAUUAUAAUAUUAAUGUUAAAAUUUUAUUUUUCUUAGGUUGAACAUGCUGCCACCACCAACUUCCCUAAGCAUCUGCUACACGAUUUAGCCUUCUAUAUGAGACAAAUUACUUCUGUUCCUUCUAUUCAACAGCCUGCACUUCUGCCUAGUUUCCACAACAGCCUUUGUCUUUUUAAAAAUCUUUACACAAUGUUUUGAGUAAGAGCCAUUGUUCCCUGAACUUACAACUCCAGGAAUCAGUCAAUUCAGGGAAGAGGCUUAUUUUAUGCUAAGUUCAAAAUGUUUUCUUUAUGUUCUUGAUGAAAUUGUGUCAUCCAAAUUUUCAUUCAGCCCUCAAACAUGUGGAGACUUACCUAAAACAGAGACUUUCUUCAGACCUGCUGGAACUCUGACCUCUCAACUUUGACCUGGAACAGAAGUCAUCAUGCCCCAUGCAAAACCCCCAGAUCACCCUGUGACGAUGAUGAUACCAUUUACUCCUGUGUUACUGUCCUUAUAUUGUGUUUUAUAUCACUGUAUUCAUGUCAUAUAAAUGGAGAUCAUAAUAGUCCAUGCAAUAAGCAGUGCCCUCAGUGUCUAUAUAACAUUGGGAAAUGAAAGCCAAAAACUGAUCCCAGUAAGCACAGUCUCUUAAUUUCUAUACCUAUGACUUCAGACGUAUGCACCUCUGUACAAUGUGCUGUAAGGCACAGAUACAGAUGAAAUAUCCUAAAAAUACUUGUUUUAUUUCGAAAAAGGUAAACGUAAACCGUGUCACCAUGUAAAACUGUGUGUAGUGUGGAUUAUGUCUGUGAAAUGUGUGAAAGGUAGAAGGGUAAAAAAAUAGCCAACUACAUCAUUACUAAUGCUUUAGACAUUAAUGCUGACCCACCACAGAUGGAACAGGUUGGGCAAGGACAUGUGAAGGUUUCCUGUCAAACCAACUGUGUUUUUGAACGUCUAAUGUGCCAUCAUGUGUAAUCACAGUCUACAGGACUGUUCAGACAGUGGUGCUGGGAAACUUGUCCCAUAUUUAAAAAAAAAAACAAAACAAACAAAAAAAAAAACAACACACAUUUAAAUGAUUGGAUUAUUGCACUUGUAUGAAUUUUCCAUGUCACCAUCCUUUAGAAAACCGAUUCCCAACCCUGGUCUUGGAAUACUUCAUGUCCUGCACAUUUUAAUGUUUUCCCUGCUCCCAACACAUUUGAUUCAACUAGUCAGCUAAUAAAGAGCUCUACAUACGUUGACAUGGGUGAGCAGGGAAAGCGCAAAGUUGUGCAGGACCAGGGCUGGUUGGUUCACCAAGAAGCAGUGCUGUGCUGCCCUCUAGAGGGUUUGGGUGCAAUGAAAAGCCUUUGUUUUGACCAGCACUACUUAAGAAUACUGAAAGAAUAUCUGUUAGUCCCCACGCCGGAUGUAACAUAUGUGAUAAGACAUUAAGCCACUGCUGAUCUAUGAUAUCGGCCGAACCUUCCCAUGGCUGCAAAUGAAUUUUGCUGUCAUUUCACUGCAUAACAGCAAAAUUAGCAUCUAAUUGAUCAAUAAACAUGAGUUGGCAAUUCAAUGGAGAACACAGUCUGGCAACUGAGAGUUAAGGGACAUGGACAACAAAGCUGAAAACCAGACCAAGAAACACAGUAGGUUUCAGGUACAUCAAGUUUUAGAGUCCUUAAGAACUAAUUUAUAUAGCUACCCUAAAAUGCCAUGGUCAUUUACUGUUGAGAUGUCUAUUCUAGCAACUAUUAAUUAAAUUUCAGGGUUUAACCUUGUUAUUCUAUUCAAGUCCUUGUCGUAGCUUGUCUUUAAAUGUCUGAGAUUAUAUUGGUCUUCAUGUGGUCAAGUAGGGGUUCUGGAGGAAAAAUGGCCACUGUUCCUGUCAAUGAAAAUGUCUUCGUGUUUACUGAAAUUCCAUUUUUGAAGUUCUUUUUUUUUCUCUCUUGCUGUGUUAGCAUGUUUGUGUUUAACCAAUUUUCAAUAGACACCUGGAAAGCAAGGUUCUGACUGUAGUGCUUGUUUAAUAAACAGUUGCUGACUUUU